rnacentral:lncRNA from 1 species
GCAAUCUUUCUUGUUCUCUCCUUGUUUCUGAAUUGAAUUAACCUAUCUGGUCUUUUGUAGUGGAGAAUUCAUGCUUGGACUUGUUCUUCAAAUCAACUGCUACCAUGAAUUAACUUCGGUGCUGGUAGGAUUAACUUGCUCAGUAAAUUUAAGAUGAACCUGACUAAGGUUCAUUCUCUUACUGUCUUACAUCAAACUUGAAUGGAAUGGUUGUCUUGUAAAAAACUACGAUGUUUUAGUUUCGUAGGUUUAAUUGUCUUCGGUGUUUCUCAUGUGUUGAAUCAUUGCAGAAGUUGGAGCACAAGAUGCUGGACAAUUUCUUCUCUGUGCUGUCAUGUGUUAUCUCCGUGCCCUUCUACACGGGAUUCCUCCC